rnacentral:rRNA from 1 species
AGUGAACGCUGGCGGUAGGCCUAACACAUGCAAGUCGAACGGCAGCACAGUAAUAGCUUGCUCUUACGGGUGGCGAGUGGCGGACGGGGGGGGAAUACCUCGUGAUUUACUUUUUCGCGGGUGAUAACGUAGGGAGACUUACUGUAAUACCUCAUACGACCUACGGGUGAAAGCAGGGGAUCGUCGGACCUUGCGCUAUUGAAUGAGGCGAUGUGGGAUGAGCCAGUCGGCGGGGUAGAGGGGCACCAAGGCGACGAUCCGUAGCUGGACUGAGAGGAUGAUCGGCCACACUCGAACUGAGACAGGGUCCCGACCCCUACGGGAGGCAGCAGUGGGGGAUGUUGGACAAUGGGCGCAAGCCUGAUCCAGACAUACCGAGUGGGUGAAGAAGGCCUUCGGGUUGUAAAGCCCUUCUGUUGGGGAAGAAAAGCAGCAGGUUAAUUCCCCGCUGUUCUGACGGUACCCAAAGAAUAAGCACCGGCUAACUUCGUG